rnacentral:misc_RNA from 1 species
GAUGAAGAACGUAGCGAAAUGCGAUAAGUAGUGUGAAUUGCCGAAUUCAGUGAAUCAUCGAAUCUUUGAACGCACAUUGCGCCCCUUGGUAUUCCAUGGGGCAUGCCUGUUCGAGCGUCAUCUACAACCCUCAAGCCCUGCUUGGUGUUGGGCGUCUGUCCCGCCCCCGCGCGCGGACUCGCCCCAAAUCCAUUGGCGGCGGCCCUUGCCUCCCUCUCGCGCAGCACAUUGCGCUUCUCGAGGCGUCGCGGGCCGCGCUCCACGAAGCACGCAAACCAGUCUUUGACCUCGGAUCAGGUAGGGAUACCCGCUGAACUUAAGCAUAUCAAUAAGCGGAGGA